CUGCAGAAGAAGCCCCGGCUAACUCCGUGCCAGCAGCCGCGGUAAUACGGAGGAUCCGAGCGUUAUCCGGAUUUACUGGGUUUAAAGGGAGCGUAGGUGGACAGUUAAGUCAGUUGUGAAAGUUUGCGGCUCAACCGUAAAAUUGCAGUUGAUACUGGCUGUCUUGAGUACAGUAGAGGUGGGCGGAAUUCGUGGUGUAGCGGUGAAAUGCUUAGAUAUCACGAAGAACUCCGAUUGCGAAGGCAGCUCACUGGACUGCAACUGACACUGAUGCUCGAAAGUGUGUGUAUCAAACAA
rnacentral:rRNA from 1 species